GUCUACUCUUCUUCAUCGGAUCCUGUGCUAGUGCCAGCCUUGAACCCACGAAAUCCAGGAACAGUUGGUACGAUAAAACGUGAGAUAGGUAACCAGCGCACUGUUACCGACUCCACUGUGUCUCCUGCGAAUGAGGGAACAUCAGAUGCUUGUCAAGAUGCUCCCCAAAAUACUAAUGCAGUCACUAGAACUGUAAACUACAUAAACACAACAG
rnacentral:misc_RNA from 1 species